rnacentral:lncRNA from 1 species
AAUUGUUGUUCUUAUUGAUAACUAAGUCUGGUAGAGAUUAAUUUGAGUCCUAAAAUUAACGGUCAGAAAACCUUCAGGAGUCGUGAAAGACUCAAAAUAGCAACCCCUUGAACACAGAGCUAAGGUUUUUACCAACUUAACUACCCUUGAGAGUUAGCGUGGUUGAAUUGUUAGCUAUGGACUAAUUUACAAAAAGCAACUUUAUUACUUAUAUUUUUUAUGCAUAGACUUUCUCAUAUGAGACUGGACUCUUCAUAUUAAGCAAAUCAAAUACGUGCAAGUAUUUCAUAAUUAUUUGACUUGCUCUAAUACUCUUCUCAUGUGGAGCUAGACACUUCUAUUAAGCACGCUACACGAGCUUUUUAAUGACUCAAAUUCGAGUAGCUUGAUUCGUUUAACAACUAUACGUAUGGUCAGACUCUUCUCCAUAAGCAUACCAAACACUUGUAGAAGUAUUUCCUAAUUAUUAUCUAUUCUAAUAUCACGUUGAAUUGUUAAUCAUCAACUCGUUUACAAGUAUUUGUUAAAGAGAGGGAUAAUAUUUAUUAUAUAUAUCUUCAAUAAGUACAGAUAGAUAUUGCAUCAUGUUGUGUGAUGAAGGUGGAUUAUGAGACAAUAAAACAUAAUAUCCAAUAAUGAAUGCUAGGAAGGAGGCAAAUCUUACACUCACCCUAAAAUUCAGCAUAAUCAAUUGUUUUUUGGUUUUUCUACUAUACUAAUGACUGCAAAUGCUUGAUAUAUUUGUAUUAUAAUAUGUUAUGAAUAAUUGUGGAUUCCUAUAUUAAUUUGUUCAAUAUAAAUAAAUAAAUUAAUUGAAUUUUUUGUUUGAGUAGGUAGAUAAUCAGGAACUGGCGAGGUCCAAAAGUCCUAAAUUUCAGUGUUUCUUGGAGUGAUAAAUGUCUUCCUCCUAUUAUCAGCAUGAUCUUUGUUCAACCUUUUAUAUGGAUAUAAAAUGGAAGUCCACAAUUUACAAUAUGAGCCUGUGAUUCUUUGGACCUUCCAAAAUCAGAAAGCUAGCUAGCCAAUAAUUUUUAUCUAUGCAAUGAUUAACAAGCAUGAUUUCUUGUAUAAGCAAGAUGCAUCACCACCCUUCUUGGUAGUACCUAGAUCCGAUCAAUCCAAGGGCUACUCUCUUAGCGAGGUUGAUCCAUGAAAAGCAAUU